rnacentral:misc_RNA from 1 species
GAUGAAGAACGUAGCGAAAUGCGAUAAGUAAUGUGAAUUGCAGAAUUCAGUGAAUCAUCGAAUCUUUGAACGCACCUUGCACUCCUUGGUAUUCCGAGGAGUACGCCUGUUCGAGUGUUAUGAAGCUCUCAAAACGCAAUUGGCUUAAAACCUGAUUGUUGUUUUGGAUUUGAACUUUGCCGUGUUAUAACGGCUGGUUUUAAAAGUAUUAGCUGGUACUAGAACGAAUUGGUUCUACUCAACGUGAUAAUUAUCUGAUCGUUGAGGACAUUCCUUUCACGAGGAAUGGCCAUAGUAAAUUCAAUGGACUGCUUCUAAUCUGGCUUUAAUUCUUUAUUGGAUUAACCACUUUUCAAAUCUGACCUCGAAUCAGGUGGGACUUCCCGCUGAACUUAAGCAUAUCAAUAAGCGGAGGA